UAGUCCUAGCCCUAAACGAUGCGCACUAGGUAGCGGGAUAUUCCGAGAUUUCGCUGCCGGAGCAAAAGUUUUAAGUGCGCCGCCUGGGGACUACGGUCGCAAGGCUAAAACUCAAAGGAAUUGACGGGGGCUCACACAAGCGGUGGAGGAUGUUGCUUAAUUCGAAGCAACGCGAAGAACCUUACCAGGACUUGACAUACUGGUGGUACGAACUGGAAACAGGGAGGACCUAGUUUACUAGGAGCCAGUACAGGUGUUGCAUGGCUGUCGUCAGCUCGUGCCGUGAGGUGUUGGGUUAAGUCCCAUAACGAGCGAAACCCCUGCUACUAGUUGCCAGCGGAUAAUGCCGGGGACUCUAGUGGGACUGCCGGUGUCAAGCCGGAGGAGGGUGGGGACGACGUCAAGUCAUCAUGGCCCUUGCGUCCUGGGGCUGCAAACGUCCUACAAUGGCCGGUACAAAGGGGUUGCCAACCCGCGAGGGGGAGCUAAU
rnacentral:rRNA from 1 species